rnacentral:rRNA from 1 species
AUUGAACGCUGGCGGUAUGCUUAACACAUGCAAGUCGAACGGCAGCACAGGGUAGCUUGCUAUCCGGGUGGCGAGUGGCGGACGGGUGAGUAACGCGUAGGAAUCUACCUUUUCGUGGGGGAUAACCCGGGGAAACUCGGGCUAAUACCGCAUACGCCCUACGGGGGAAAGCGGGGGACCUUCGGGCCUCGCGCGGAACGAUGAGCCUGCGUCCUAUCAGGUAGUUGGUGAGGUAAUGGCUCACCAAGCCGACGACGGGUAGCUGGUCUGAGAGGACGACCAGCCACACUGGGACUGAGACACGGCCCAGACUCCUACGGGAGGCAGCAGUGGGGAAUAUUGGACAAUGGGGGAAACCCUGAUCCAGCAAUACCGCGUGUGUGAAGAAGGCCUUCGGGUUGUAAAGCACUUUUAGCAGGAAAGAAAGGCUGUGCGCUAAUACCGCAUUGCUUUGACGUUACUUGCAGAAAAAGCACCGGCUAACUCCGUG